AGGGUUUACUGGUGAUUCUGAACUGGGGAGAAAGGAGCUGUCCCAUACCACGGUUCCAAUCGGCCGGGUGCUUAUUUCAUAAGGCAUUGAGAAAAAAGUAUCAGUAAAUCAAAGUCAAGAAUUUCCCACCCCUGUAAGCUUGAUCCAGUGUUAUUGCUGCAGCAUAUUGAGUUGGAGGAAGGAGGUCCAAAGGAAAAAAGGUGAUGUUGCUACUACAUUGGAGAAUAUGAGUGACGAGGUAAAAUAUGUUUUGCAGGAUAAUAUGUAAC